CGCGGCGAAAGCGUGCGCGCUCAAACCUCAGGCCGCUCAGCUUCGCAGCAAACACACCGACUUCUGUGUGAACCCUCUUCCUGUGAAAGUUUACAGAUCCAGAGUGCAGAGCCGUUCCACAUGGCCGGCCUUUCAACAAGGAGUCCAGGAUUAAAGUCUAUUGGGAUUUCCGUGCUGCUUCUGGUCAUCCUCCUUCAAGUCUUGCUGCUGCACUUUCCUGGUGUCUUCAUCCACUCCGAGAAAGUCCUCAUCGGCCCUGUAAUCUUUUGUGAAAACAAUCAACACGGUGAACUAAUUUGUAGUCAAACGGGAUGGUCAGAUCACUCUGGUCAGAAAAUGUACAGUAUUGAAGCGAUGCUCGCUCUGUGUUUUUAUGUUCCAAUCGUGCUUGUGGCCUUUGCCCUGCUCUGCAUGCUGCUAGCUACUUACGCCAGAGACAGAACAACACUCCGGUGCAGCAUGGUCUGCCAGGCAGCAUCAGCCCUGCUCACUCUGGGAGGCAUCAUUACGUUUUUGGCAUAUUUUCACUCCUACUUGAGUUGGAAAGACAUGACACUUUGGUUUUAUUUAUGUGUUGGUGUAGAGGUAGAGUUGAUUGUCACAACUGUACUUACAAGGGUUUUAGGACAGAAGCUGACUUCUGACUGGGAAUAAACGGAUUCAGGCUGCACCAGAUUCCACAGGACCACAAGAUUAACCUUAUUUUAUUUGUAUUGUCUGUGUUAAAAUCGUAUUGCUGAUGUAUAUUAUUACCUAUGCUUGAAAUGAUUUACUUUAGUAGAUCAAGUUUGUUUUUACUGCUGUACCAAUGAGAUGUCUGGACAAGCUCUUUUGUAAGAGGAUAAGAAUGAAAAUGUGACAAAAAAACAAAGCCAUUAUCAGUGUUGUACCUUCAGAUGUUAAAUCUCAUAAACUGUGUUUACAAAAAACCCUCCUGAA